GAUGAACGCUGGCGGCGUGCCUAAUACAUGCAAGUCGAGCGAACAGACGAGGAGCUUGCUCCUCUGACGUUAGCGGCGGACGGGUGAGUAACACGUGGAUAACCUACCUAUAAGACUGGGAUAACUUCGGGAAACCGGAGCUAAUACCGGAUAAUAUAUUGAACCGCAUGGUUCAAUAGUGAAAGACGGUUUUGCUGUCACUUAUAGAUGGAUCCGCGCCGCAUUAGCUAGUUGGUAAGGUAACGGCUUACCAAGGCGACGAUGCGUAGCCGACCUGAGAGGGUGAUCGGCCACACUGGAACUGAGACACGGUCCAGACUACUACGGGAGGCAGCAGUAGGGAAUCUUCCGCAAUGGGCGAAAGCCUGACGGAGCAACGCCGCGUGAGUGAUGACGGUCUUCGGAUCGUAAAACUCUGUUAUUAGGGAAGAACAAAUGUGUAAGUAACUAUGCACGUCUUGACGGUACCUAAUCAGAAAGCCACGGCUAACUACGUG
rnacentral:rRNA from 1 species